GUGCCAGCAGCCGCGGUAAUACGGAGGGGGCUAGCGUUGUUCGGAAUUACUGGGCGUAAAGCGCACGUAGGCGGACCAGAAAGUUGGGGGUGAAAUCCCGGGGCUCAACCUCGGAACUGCCUUCAAAACUAUUGGUCUUGAGUUCGAGAGAGGUGAGGGGAAUUCCGAGUGUAGAGGUGAAAUUCGUAGAUAUUCGGAGGAACACCAGUGGCGAAGGCGGCUCACUGGCUCGAUACUCACGCUGAGGUGCGAAAGCGUGGGGAGCAAACAGGAUUAG
rnacentral:rRNA from 1 species